GGAUGGGUGGCCGAGUGGUUUAAGGCACUAGUCUUGAAAACUAGCGUAGGUUAACGCCUACCGUGAGUUCGAAUCUCACCCCAUCCGCCA
rnacentral:tRNA from 1 species